rnacentral:rRNA from 1 species
GACGAACGCUGGCGGCGUGCUUAAUACAUGCAAGUGGAGCGACGAACCAGGGCUUGCCCUGGGGCAGAGCCGCGAACGGGUGAGUAACACGUGGGUAACCUGCCUCGAUGACCGGGACAACCCGAGGAAACUCGGGCUAAUACCGGAUGUGCUCUCCUCACAUCAGUGGGAAGAGGAAAGGAAGCUUCGGCCUCCGCAUCGGGAUGGGCCCGCGGCCCAUUAGCUAGUUGGUGGGGUAAGGCCUACCAAGGCUUCGAUGGGUAGCUGUUCUGAGAGGAAGAUCAGCCACACUGGGACUGAGACACGGCCCAGACUCCUACGGGAGGCAGCAGUAGGGAAUCUUGCGCAAUGCGCGAAAGCGUGACGCAGCAACGCCGCGUGCGGGAAGACGGCCUGG